CAGCCGCCGCGGUAAUACGUAGGGUGCAAGCGUUAUCCGGAAUUAUUGGGCGUAAAGAGCUCGUAGGCGGUUUGUCGCGUCUGCUGUGAAAACUGGAGGCUCAACCUCCAGCCUGCAGUGGGUACGGGCAGACUAGAGUGCGGUAGGGGAGAUUGGAAUUCCUGGUGUAGCGGUGGAAUGCGCAGAUAUCAGGAGGAACACCGAUGGCGAAGGCAGAUCUCUGGGCCGUAACUGACGCUGAGGAGCGAAAGCGUGGGGAGCGAACAGGUUUAGAUACCCCAGUAGUCCCUGUCUCUUAUAA
rnacentral:rRNA from 1 species